AGUGAACGCUGGCGGUAGGCCUAACACAUGCAAGUCGAACGGCAGCACAGUAAGAGCUUGCUCUUACGGGUGGCGAGUGGCGGACGGGUGAGGAAUACAUCGGAAUCUACUUUUUCGUGGGGGAUAACGUAGGGAAACUUACGCUAAUACCGCAUACGACCUACGGGUGAAAGCAGGGGAUCUUCGGACCUUGCGCGAUUGAAUGAGCCGCUGUCGGAUUAGCUAGUUGGCGGGGUAAAGGCCCACCAAGGCGACGAUCCGUAGCUGGUCUGAGAGGAUGAUCAGCCACACUGGAACUGAGCCACGGUCCAUACUCCUACGGGAGGCAGCAGUGGGGAAUAUUGGACAAUGGGCGCAAGCCUGAUCCAGCCAUACCGCGUGGGUGAAGAAGGCCUUCGGGUUGUAAAGCCCGUUUGUUGGGAAAGAAAAGCAGCAGGUUAAUACCCCGCUGUUCUGACGGUACCCAAAGAAUAAGCACCGGCUAACUUCGUG
rnacentral:rRNA from 1 species